GUCUUUAUAAUCCAUACCUUAAGAUUUUAAUUUUGUAAAUUAAACAAACACAAAAUGUGUUAAAGACU
rnacentral:tRNA from 1 species